ACGCUGCCAAGAAAAGCGUCUAGAGAGAGAAGUAGUGCCCGUACCGCAAACCGACACAGGUAGGUGAGGAGAGAAUCCUAAGGCCGGCGGAAGAAUUACAGUUAAGGAACUCGGCAAAUUGACCCCGUAAGUUCGCGAGAAGGGGUGCCUACGAGAGUAGGCCGCAGAGAAUAGGCCCAAGCAACUGUUUAGCAAAAACACAGGUCUCUGCUAAAGCGUAAGCUGAUGUAUAGGGGCUGACGCCUGCCCGGUGCUGGAAGGUUAAGGGGAACACUUAGCGCAAGCGAAGGUGUGAACUUAAGCCCCAGUAAACGGCGGCCGUAACUAUAACGGUCCUAAGGUAGCGAAAUUCCUUGUCAGGUAAGUUCUGACCCGCACGAAUGGCGUAAUGACUUGGGCACUGUCUCAACUGUAAAUCCGGCGAAGUUGUAGUGCGAGUGAAGAUGCUCGCUACCCGCGAUUGGACGGAA
rnacentral:rRNA from 1 species